CUUGGACCUAAUCCUUACCAACAGGGAGGAAAUGGUUGAGGAAGUAAGGGUGACUGGGACCCUGGGUGGCAGUGACCAUGCUAUCAUUGAGUUUUGGAUAACAAAAGGAGGAAGAUCUGAGAGGACUCGGACUUCAAGGUUAGANUUCAGAGGAGCAGAUUUUGAUGGACUCAGAAGGAGGGUAGGAAGGAUCCAUUGGCUGGAUGUCUUAAAGGACAGAAAUGUCCUGGAAGGAUGGGAAAUUUUGAGAAAGGAGAUUCUAGAGGCACAAUCUUUAACAAUUCCUAAAAGAAAAAAGAAUGGCAAGCAUCUAAAGAGACCAGGGUGGAUGAACCCUGAACUUAAUAACUUGCUAAAAAGAAAAAAAGAAAUGUUUAAAAAAUGGAAAGAGGGGGACAUAUCAAAAGAAGAAUAUAAUGCAAUCUGCAGGAACUGCAGGAUAAGUGUCAGAAAGGCUAAAGCUAAAAAUGAAUUGAGGAUUGCAAGAGAGGCCAAAAACAAUAAAAAAGGCUUUUGGAGGUAUGUCAGAAGCAAAAGAAAAGUCAAAGAAGCUAUAGGACCUUUACAAAAUGAGAAGGGUGAUUUGGUCAAAAACGAUAUUCAGAAGGCAGAACUUCUGAACUCCUAUUUUGCAUCUGUUUUCUCUCAGAAAGGAAAGGAAACAUCAGUUGGCCUUCACUGUGCUGUUGAGGGAAUAAGAGAAUCAAGGCUCUGUAUGGACAAGGAGAAGGUGAGGGAACACUUAGCAAACUUAAAUGUAUUCAAGUCUCCAGGCCCAGAUGAAUUACAUCCUAGGGUGCUGAAGGAAUUAGCUGAUAUAAUUGCUGAACCACUCUCUGUGAUAUUUGAGAACUCAUGGAUAACAGGAGAAGUCCCAGAAGAUUGGAGAAGGGCAAAUGUUGUACCUAUCUUUAAAAAAGGAAAGAAGGCUGACCCAGGCAACUACAGGCCUGUGAGCCUGACUUCAAUACCAGGCAAGAUAUUUGAACAAAUCAUUAAACAGCAUAUAUGGGAGCACUUGGAUGGGAAUGCAGUAAUUAACCAAAGCCAACAUGGAUU
rnacentral:lncRNA from 1 species